CUGGCUCAGGAUGAACGCUAGCGGCAGGCUUAAUACAUGCAAGUCGAGGGGCAGCAGGACUGUAGCAAUACAGUUGCUGGCGACCGGCAAACGGGUGCGGAACACGUACGCAACCUACCCAAAACUGGGGAAUAGCCCGGGGAAACCCGGAUUAAUACCUCGUAACCUAUUGGAGUGGCAUCACUUUAAUAGUAUAGCUCCGGCGGUUUUGGAUGGGCGUGCGCCUGAUUAGGUAGUUGGUGAGGGUAACGGCCCACCAAGCCUGCGAUCAGUAACUGGUGUGAGAGCACGACCAGUCACACGGGCACUGAGACACGGGCCCGACUCCUACGGGAGGCAGCAGUAAGGAAUAUUGGUCAAUGGACGCAAGUCUGAACCAGCCAUGCCGCGUGAAGGAUGAAGGUCCUCUGGAUUGUAAACUUCUUUUAUAUGGGACGAAACCCGGGAAUUCUUUCCCGAUUGACGGUACCAUAAGAAUAAGCACCGGCUAACUCCGUGCCAGCAGCCGCGGUAAUACGGAGGGUGCAAGCGUUAUCCGGAUUCACUGGGUUUAAAGGGUGCGUAGGAGGGUAGGUAAGUCAGUGGUGAAAUCUUCGAGCUUAACUCGGAAACUGCCGUUGAUACUAUCUAUCUUGAAUACCGUGGAGGUGAGCGGAAUAUGUCAUGUAGCGGUGAAAUGCUUAGAUAUGACAUAGAACACCAA
rnacentral:rRNA from 1 species